UGAUAUUUGAAUGUCAUUUAUUUCAUACACAAACACAAACAUGCACCCUAAAUGGUGUUUGCUUGAUGGCUGCAAGUUUCUCUCAAGCAAUCUGAUGACGUUAUUUACAAUGGUAUCAGAGGAAAACAUUGUUUCAUUCCUAAAAUUAAUCUUUUAUUUUAUUAAUGCCAAAAAUAGAACAGGAUCAAAAUAACUGACAUCAUUUUUGAAUUUUUCAAGGUGAUAUCCUUUAUUAAAAUUCUAUGAAAGGCAUUGAUAAUCACUGUUAGCAAUAGUUGUCAAGAAUUUUAAUGAAUGAUGCAUAAAUUUAACUCUUUAAGUCAUAGCAUUUAAUAAAAGUACUUUUGAGUACAGAAAGAUCAAAUUUGCA
rnacentral:lncRNA from 1 species